rnacentral:lncRNA from 1 species
GUCUGCCUUAAAUCUCAGCUAACGAGAUCUCUUAUAUGUAACUAACCUUUCCUUUUCUUUGAAUGUUCUUUAGGACGGACAAACCCCACGAAGACAUACUGCUGGCUAAAAGCACACCAUCAGGCGAUCAUACCACAGGCAGUAACCACUAAGAAAUACCAGAGGUUAAGAGGAAAUUCUGCUUUUCAGACCCAGUAAGUUCUGCCCGGUGUAUCCCCAAGAAAAGAAAUUAACUACAGUUUAGGUUUGGAACUAAAAGAGAUGAGAUUCACAAUGCUUGCCCUGUGUCUAAUAGUUAUAAGAGUCUAUUUAUAGCAGAAGUGUCAUCCUUGGAGCAUAUUGAAGAGGUCUCAGAAUGUGAGCAGUUAGAUGGAAGAUGAUAAUGAAGCAGCCUUGAUGCAACUUGACCAAAAGUAAUGAAAGAGAUGGAGAGGUGGCGAGUCAUCCGUGCAGCAAAACCUAAAGGAGAG